rnacentral:rRNA from 1 species
ACGGGGGGUGCAAGCGUUGUUCGGAAUCAUUGGGCGUAAAGCGCGCGCAGGCGGCUUGGUAAGUCAGAUGUGAAAUCCCUGGGCUUAACCCAGGAAGUGCAUUUGAUACUGCCGAGCUUGAGUACGGGAGAGGUAAGUGGAAUUCCUGGUGUAGAGGUGAAAUGCUUAGAUAUCAGGCGGAACACCGGUGGCGAAGGCGGCUUUCUGGGCCGAUACUGACGCUGAGGCGCGAAAGCGUGGGGAUCAAACAG